rnacentral:rRNA from 1 species
UGAGGAAUAUUGGGCAAUGCCCGCAAGGGUGACCCAGCAACGCCGCGUGGAGGAUGAAUGUCGUAAGAUUGUAAACUCCUGUUAGAGGGGAAGAAUAGUACCGGUUGGACCGGUAUAUGACUGUACCCUCAGAGAAAGCCCCGGCUAACUACGUGCCAGCAGCCGCGGUAAUACGUAGGGGGCAAGCGUUAUCCGGAUUCACUGGGUUUAAAGGGUGCGUAGGCGGAUAUGUAAGUCAGUGGUGAAAUCAACGGGCUCAACCUGUUAACUGCCAUUGAUACUGUGUAUCUUGAAUAUGAGAGAGGUAGGCGGAAUGUUGCAUGUAGCGGUGAAAUGCUUAGAUAUGCUACGGAACACCGAUUGCGAAGGCAGCUUACUAUUUCGUAAUUGACGCUGAGGCACGAAAGCGUGGGUAGCGAACA